GUCAUGUCAGCAGCACAGGUACCGAAACUGGAACAAUACAGAGAACAUCAGCAUGGAUUCUGCGCAGGGACACCACAGAAAUUCGUUGAGGAUUCCAUUUUUUUU